rnacentral:lncRNA from 10 species
UGGGAGUUUGAGACCAGCCUGGCCAACAUGGAGAAACCCCGUCUGUACUAAAAAUACAAAAAACAAACAAACAAACAAAAAAAUUUAGCCGGGCAUGGUGGUGCGUGCCUGUAAUUCCAGUUACUCAGGAGGCUGAAGCAGGAGAAUUGCUUGAACCCGGGAGGCGGAAGUUGCAGUGAGCUGAGAUUGCACCAUUGCACUCCAGCCUUGGCGGCAAGAGCAAAACUCCAUCUCAAAAAAAAAAGAAAAAGAGAAAAAAGAUAUAGAAGGAACAAAUGACUACUUGGUUACCAACUAUUUUAGUUGUAUUUUGUAUAGUACUAUAUUAUAAAUCUAUGUUCACAUCUAACACAGGCAUGAGUGGAAGGCAGGCAUACAACAUCCUCUUAAACACUUCUAUUAAUGGAGUAUUCAGCACAUCACAAAGUAGCUUUAUGGAUAGCUUGGCUUCUGAAUUUUUUUAAACUAUUAAGUAACAUUAAUAAUUUCCUUUAUUCUAUGUGCACAGAACACCGGCAAUAAAGAUUUCAUUCAUUUACUCAAAAAUAUUUACUGGUUGCCUUUUUGGGGACAGGUACUUUAUGACUUUAUGACAUAGUUACAAUGGUAAAGUAACAAAAUUUCAUUUCAUACCAUCAAGUGUUUAAAAUUAAAAUAAGUAUUUUAGAUGUAGAUAAAUAUGUUUUUCUAAAAAUCACCAAACAGGAUAUAAGUAAUUUAUUUGAUCAUGGCAUUUUAUCACAUACUAUAACAAGAUCUAUUUAUCACAUACUAUAACAAGAUCUAUUCCCAGUAUCUAGAAAGCAAGCCAACGGGCCGGGCGCAGUGGCUCACGUCUGUAAUCCGAGCACUUUGGGAGGCCGAGGUAGGUAGAUUAUGAGCACAAGAGAUCGAGACCAUCCUGGCAAACAUGGUGAAAUCCUGUCUCUACUAAAAAUAAAAAAAUUAGCUGGGGGUGGUUGGCGUGCGACUGUAGUCCCAGCUACUCGGCAGGCUGAGGCAGGAGAAUUACUUGAACCUGAGAGGGGGAGGUUGCAGUGAGCUGAGAUUGCACCACUGCACUCCAGCCUGGUGACAGAGGGAGACUCGGUCUCAAAAAAAAAAAAAAAAAAAAAAAAAGACAGCCACCGAACUGUAAACCAAUUAAAUUGGGAGUAGAACUGGAAGAGUGUGAUUUAUUACCUUGUUUAUAGCCUGAAUGUCUUAAAAAAUGGGUCCCAACUCAAACUUUACAAUUAUCCAUUUAGUGUCAUAAAAUUCUAUAAGUCAAAUAUUAAAAUUGAUCUAUAAGUCUAUUCCCUUUAAAAAAGCCUAUUCCCUGAAGCUCUUACAAAAAUGAAGUAAUAAAGGUAUAUGUUUAACAUGUAUUUAUUUAUUUAUUUGAGGGUUGUGCUUUGUCACCUAGGCUGGAGUGCAGUGGCAUGAUCAUGGCUCACUGCAACCUCUACCUCCUGGGCUCAAGCAAUCCUCCCACCUCAGCCUCCUGAGUAGUUGGGACUACAGGUGUGCGCCAGCACACCUGGCUAAUUUUUGUAUUUUUUGUAGAGAUGCAGUUUCGCCAUGUUGCCUAGGCUAGUCUCAAACACCUGGACUCACCCAAUAAGCCUGACUUGGCCUCUCCAAGUGUUGGGAUUACAGGCAUGAGCCACCACACCCAGCUGGAAAAUGUUUAAAAUUUAUUAAGUGAAAAGUAACUCAUGCUGCAAUGAACGUACUAUGUAAAAAUGUAUGUAUGUGGAACAGGGAAAAAUAUAAACAGUCACAGAAAUGUGUUUAGGUUGGUAGCAUUCUUUUUCCUCUUAAAAAUUCCUUUUUUUGGCCGGGCGCUGUGGCUCACACCUGUAAUCCCAGCACUUUGGGAAGCCGCGGUGGACAGAUCACAAGGUCAGGAGAUCAAGACCAUCCUGGCUAACAUGGUGAAACCCCGUCUCUACUAAAAAUACAAAAAAUUAGCUGGGCAUGGAGGCACUCGCCUGUAGUCGCAGCUACUCGGGAGGCUGAGGCACCUGUCACCACGCCCGCUACUUUUGGUAUUUUUAGUAGAGAUGGAGUUUCACCACGUUGGCCAGGCUGAUCUCAAACUCCUGGCCUCAAGUGAUUCACCUGCCUUGGCCUCCCAAAGUGCUGGAAUUACAGGCCCGGCCUAUUUUUGCAAUAAUUAUGAAUAGCACACCAUUUAAACCUGUUGAUUGAGCCCUCCUUAAAUAACUAAAUACACUACUGGCCAACAUGGUGAAAACCUGUCUCCACUAAAAACACAAAAAAAUGGCCGGGCACAGUGGCUCAUGCCUGUAAUCCCAGCACUUCAGGAGGCCAAGGGGUGUGAAUCACCUGAGGUUAGGAGUUCAAGACCAGCCUGGCCAACAUGGUGAAACCCUGUCUCUACUAAAAAAAAAUACAAAAAUUAGCUGAGUGUAGUGGCACAUACCCGUAGUCUCAGCUACUCAGGAGGCUGAGGCAGGAGAAUUGCUUGAACCUGGGAGGCAGGGGUUGCAGUGAGCCAAGAUCGUGCCACCACACUCCAGCCUGGGUGACACAGCGAGACUCCAUCUCAAAAUAAAUAAAUAAAUAAAAAGAAAGGGACCGAGCGCGGUGGCUCAUGCUUGUAAUCCCAGCACUCUGGGAGGCUGAGUUGGGCAGAUCACAAGGUCAAGAGUUCAGGACCAGCCUGACCAACACGGUAAAACCCCAUCUCUACUAAAAAUACAAAAAUGAGCUGGGUGUGAUGGCACGCGCCUGUAACCCCAGUUACUCAAAAGGCUGAGGCAAGAGAAUCGCUUGAACCUGGGAGGCAGAGGUUGCAGUGAGCCGAGAUCACGCCACUGCAUUCCAGCCUGGUGACAGUGAGACUCUGUCACACACACACAAAAAAGAUAAAGAAUGACAAAAAUCUGUGCCUACAUUCAGAGUGACAAGAAUACUAAUGUUCUGCUUGUAGAAAAGACUAUUGGUUCAGAAUAUGUUAAAUGCAAAUAAUAUUUUGUAUAAUAUAUAUAAAUUACAUAUGCAUAAAAAGAGUAUCUAUAUUAGAAUCUUUUGAGACAGGGUCUUGCUCUGUCAACCAUGAGGGAGUGCAGUGGCACUACCACAGCUCACUGUAGCCUUGACUUCCUGAGCUCAAGCCAUCCUCUCGCCUCAGCCUCCUGAAUAGUUGGGACUGCAGGUGGUGCCACCAAGGCUGGCUAAGUUUUUAUAUUUUUUUAUAGAAACAAGCUUUUGCCACGUUGCCCAGGCUGGUCUCAAACUUCUAAAAGCUCAAGCAAUCUGGCCGCCUUGAACUCCCAAAGUGCUUGAGUUAUAGGCAUGAGUCACUGUGCCCGGCCUACAUUAGAAUCUUAACAGUGGGGCUGGGCAUGGUGCCCCAUGCCUGUAAUCCCAGCACUUUGGGAGGUCAAGGUGGGCAGACUACUUGAGGUUGAGGAGUUCGAGGCCAGCCUGGCCAACAUGGUGAAACCCCAUCUGUACUAAAAACACAAAAAUUAGCCAGGUGUGGUGGCACAUGUUUGCAAUCCCAGCUACUUGGGAGGCUGAGGCGGGAGGAUCACUUGAACCUGGGAAGCAGAGGUUGCAGUGAGCCGAGAUGGUGCCAUGGCACUCCAGCCUGGGCAAUAGACAGCGGGACUCAGUCUCAAAACAAAAAAAAAAAAAAAAAAAAAAGAAUCUUAACAGUGGUUAACUUCAAAUAGUGAAACUAUGACUGUUAACUGAGUUUGACAUUUUUGUGUUUUCCUAGAUUUUUCUACAAUAAACAUUAUUAUUUCAUAAUAAAGCAGUAAAGACUUUUUAUACAAACUAUUUUAAGAUAAACAAAUUUUGACAUAGGGGUUAUAAGUUAGGUAGAAUCUAUUUAUAUAAAAAAUGGAACUGUACUUUUGUGGGCCAAAUAAGCACUAUGUAAGUUUUUUUAAUUUUCCCAAACACAUGCACAGAAUUAAUAUUGCCUUAAAUUUUGUUAGCACAAGUUUGAGAGAGCUCUUUAGUUCAUAAAAAAAUGUUUUAUGGACCAGGUGCCGUGGCUCACACCUGCAAUCUCAACACUUUGGGAGGCCCAGGUGGGAGGAUCGCUUGAGCCUAGGAGUUUGAGACAAGACUGGGCGACGCAGGGAGACCCUGUCUCAAAAAAACAAAACCAAAAACAAGCAAACAAAAAAACAGCUGGGCAUGGUGGCAUGCAUAUGUAGUCCCAGCUAUUCUAGAGGCUGAGGUGAGAUCGCUGGAGCCCAGGAGGUGGAGGCUACAGUAAGCUGUGAUCAUGCCAAUGCACUCCAGCUUGGUCAACAAAGCAAGACUGUGCCUCAAAAAAAAAAAAGAAAAGAAAAGAAAGAAAGAAAAGAAAAAGAAAAAAAGUUAUGUACGUAUGGUUUUUUUUUUUUUUUGGAUAGAGUUUCACUCUUCUUGCCCAGGCUGGAGUGCAAUGGUGCAAUCUUGGCUCACCACAACCUUCCCCUACUGGGUUCAAGCGAUUCUCCUGUUUCAGCCUCCCCAGUAGCUGGGAUUAAAGGCAUGUGCCACCACGCCCGGCUAAUUUUGUAUUUUUAGUAGAGAUGAAGUUUCUCCAUGUUGGUCAGGCUGGUCUUGAACUCCUGACUUCAGGUGAUCUGCCCGCCUCAGCCUCCCAAAGUGCUGGGAUUACAGGUGUGAGCCACCUCGCCUGGCCGUUUUUUUUUUUUUUUUUUUUUUCUGAGACGGAGUUUUGCUCUUAUUGCCCAGGCUGGAGUGCAAUGGCACGAUCUCGGCUCAUCGCAACCUCUGCCUCACGGGUUCAAGCAAUUUUCCUGCCUCAGCGUCUCAAGUAGCUAGGAUUACAGGGAUGCUCCAUCAUGCCCGGCUAAUUUUGUAUUUUUGGUAGAGACAGGGUUUCUCCAUGUUGGUCAGGCUGGUCUCAAACUCCCAACCUCAGGUGAUUUACCCGCCUUGGCCUCCCAAAGAGCUGGGAUUACAGGUGUGAGCCACUGUGCCCGGCCAUGCUUAUGUUUUUUAACAAUACACUUCUGAACUAUCAAAAAGAAUAUAAAUCAAAAUCACUGAAGUAGUUUUUAAAAACUCCAAAAGCUACAAAACUUACUUACUUCAAUAUCAAUUAAAAACCCAUUUGAUAGUUCAAUAACUUGAGUCCUGCUAGAAUCAUUCUAUAAGCCAUCAGUGACAGUGAAGUGGCCAAAAUUUGAGUCACUUGAUAAGUACAAAGAACACAGAUUUUU